UGAAAUAAGCACUAAAAAUAAAUUCGAAUAUUGCUAUCUGAUACUAUCGUGAAUCUUAGUUUAUACUUUGACCUUAAAGCUAUUUAUUAUUAUAAGUUAUUUCUUAUAGAGAUUUGUUUACGUCUAUCAAUAUAUAGGUCUAUACUAAAUUGAAAAAAAAAGUACUCUACAGUUAAACUAAAGGAUCUAUAUGUAGGAUGAAGGGUUUUUAUAUUAUUUCAUACUGUGAUAACGUAUCAUAUAAGUGAAUGAACAUUGGAUCCACUUCUGCAAAGUUCGAUCCAGCUGUUCCGCAGAAGGUCUGGUCCAUUAAAAGAAUCAUUUCAAGCUUAUCACUGCUGGGUUUAGAUGGUGUCAAAAGUGGAGAUGUAGUCAACACUUAGACAACCAAAUCAAUCAUUUAGCUAAACCAAUUUAAAGUGGUGUUCAAGCAGGAAUCUGGCAGCAUUUAUUACCAUCUCUCAUUUCCUUCAUUCUAAAAUUCAAAUUCAAAGACAUCACAUGCUGAUGAAUGGAAGUGGAUUGUAUAGUAUACUGAUUUUAUAACAGUUUACAAGUUUCAUAAAUUGUACCUAGUAUAAUUUCUCUUUUUUUUUUAAAUCUUAAAUAUGAUUUACAUAAUUUGUUUUUUUAUUAAAGGAUGUAACAUUAACUUUUAAGUGGGAUAUAUAUAAUUUUAAAAUAAAAAACAGACCAAAUUCUUUUCUUGAAAAAUUUUCGUGAUGACAAAAUUUCUCAAUACUUUGCAUUAAUUAUCUUUUUGAUGAAUUAAAGACCUUGCAAUGUAUAGAGCAGAUGAUGUUAAGGUCAUUCAUUUCUUCAGCCAAUAGUUAACAAGAAGAGUGUCAUGUGGCCAGCACAACGACCAACCAUAUUUACUUUUCCCAAACUAAAGUCAGGUACCCAUUAGAGUUGGGUGGACUUGGGCACCCUAAAGAUCCUAAUAUUAAAAAUCACAGUCUUCGCCAAGAUUCGAACCCAGGACCACGGGUUCAAAAGCCAAGCACUUAACUCAGCCAACGUGCCCCCUUUUUUUGAUGAAUAUUUUUCCAGACUUAUUGACUUAUCUUGACAUUUAUACAAUAUUUCAUUUCUUUUUGUCAAUAACAUAUGUAUGUGUUUGAUUUUAUGCCUAUGCAAAAUUUUAUUAUUGUUGAUGUAUAAAAAAGAAUUUUGUGAUAUGUUACAACUAUAGUAUUUGAGCCUGUACAUUUGUUUUUAUGCUUUACAUCAUACACAACUAACAGUGGGUUCAUGGAAUAAACAUUUCAAUCAACCAA